GAGCCAACUGCCUAUCCAUGUUUGACUCUGUCCGAGAGGGGCAAGCAGGCAAUCCGGUUCAUUAGUGGUGAAAAGGAGGAGAGGAUGGAGGGAGCGAGGAGGAUGGGAGGGAGGGAGCGAGGAAGAAGAGAGAUGUGUGCUGUAUCCUGAGCAAUCUAUCUAGCUGGUGCUGAGGGUUAAUAGCUGCUGCCAAAGAUAAGUGAAUUAUAAGCUGUUGCUUUCACCUCCACACAAUCUAUUGCCAAAUUGCCCAGUCACAAAAUGAGGGUGUGGACUUUUCCCUUUUUUUUUACUUUGUAUUAUUAAGGAAAAAUUAAAGUUUUAAUUUUGAAGGGGGAUAUCUAAGAGGCCUUUGAAAUAAAAAAAAAUGGGGAAAUCUUUUUUUUUUCCUUUCAGAUGAAACAAACCGAGACGCGUGUUGCAAAUGUUUUGUCUGUUGCACCCAGAUUGCAAAUAUCUUUUUUGCACAGAACUCUCGCUUUUUCCUGCACAUUUUCAAGUCGCUUAUUAGAACUUAACCCCUGAUUACACGCACCAAGGCGAUUUAAAUCUGAUUAUCAAAUUAGGAGACUUUGAGACAAAUCCUCUUAGAUCUGAUACUGUUGACUGGAGAGGGAAAAUGGAUCUCCACACCCGUCACGUAGGUAACGAUGCUGUCCUGAAAGGGACUUUUAAACCGUAUUUGACAACAAAUGCAGCUGCCCCCGCUAUUUCAGAAGAUAUUAGAGGAAAAUGAAUGCAAAUCUGUGUGCAGGAGCCAUCUGGACGUGGAGAGAGGGAGUCAGCUGCUGCGCACACUGAGGCGCGGAGCCUGAAUCCGUCUCAGCUCAUUCUGUGGGAUCAUCUGCGUGGUGGGCUUACACCGUGGAAAAUGCGCUCUCCAUCAUUAGGUGAAAAUGUUAUAGCAUCAAAAUAAAGGAAAAAUGUUGAUCCUCGUUUGUUUUUUUUCCUGCAACUUUAGCGUGGAAUUAGAGGAUCACGCUUUUUUUCCUCCAUUUCUCACCUUACAAAAUAAAAGCCUUUUUUUUUUAAAGAGCUCUGCACGCUGGAGGUAAGUGGUGGGUGAAAACAAGUGCAAACUAUCUGUGCAUCAUUUAAAUGACCGCUUGAUGACACGGC